GGCUGAGAUUGGGAGCACUCCCUUUAAGGGUGUGCUCCUGGUCUCGGCUCG
rnacentral:pre_miRNA from 2 species